rnacentral:rRNA from 1 species
CCUACGGGAGGCAGCAGUGAGGAAUAUUGGUCAAUGGGCUUACGCCUGAACCAGCCAAGUCGCGUGAGGGAAGACUGCCCUAUGGGUUGUAAACCUCUUUUGCCAGGGAGCAACGCCGGCUACGUGUAGCCGGACUGAGAGUACCCGAAGAAAAAGCAUCGGCUAACUCCGUGCCAGCAGCCGCGGUAAUCCGUAGGGGGCGAGCGUUAAUCGGAAUUACUGGGCGGAAAGGGUGUGCAGGCGGCUGAGUAAGACAGAUGUGAAAUCCCCUGGCUUAACCUGGGAACCGCAUAGGUGACUGCUUGGCUAGAGUGCGUCAGAGGGAGGUGGAAUUCCACGGGUAGCGGUGAAAUGCUUAGAUAUCACGAAGAACUCCGAUUGCGAAGGCAGCUUACUAAACUGCAACUGACAUUGAUGCUCGAAAGUGUGGGUAUCAAACAGGAUUAGAUACCCUGGUAGUC